ACGGGAGGCAGCAGUGAGGAAUAUUGGUCAAUGGGCGAGAGCCUGAACCAGCCAUCUCGCGUGAAGGAAUACGGCCCUAUGGGUCUUAAACUUCUUUUAUAGGGGGAUAAAGUGAGGCAUGUAUGCCUUUUUGUAGGUACCCUAUGAAUAAGCAUCGGCUAACUCCGUGCCAGCAGCCGCGGUAAUACGGAGGAUGCGAGCGUUAUCCGGAUUUAUUGGGUUUAAAGGGUGCGCAGGCGGCACGUUAAGUCAGCGGUGAAAUGCAGGGGCUCAACCCCGGCACUGCCGUUGAAACUGGCGAGCUCGAGUACGGAUGAAGUCGGCGGAAUGUGAUGUGUAGCGGUGAAAUGCUUAGAUAUGUCACAGAACACCGAUUGCGAAGGCAGCUGUCCAGAGAUCUUCUGACGCUCAGGCACGAAAGCAUGGGUAUCAAACAGGAUUAGAUUCCCUGGUA
rnacentral:rRNA from 1 species